GAUUGUACAAUACAAUACAGGCGCGCGUCCGAGAAAGAAGUGGUGAACAAGGCAUGGCCUCCGAGAUUGCGCGCCGGUGCAAUAUCGGAGGCCAUGAACAGGGAGGCGCAGUAGACGGACGGGAUAGAGCGCUGCCGCAGCUCAGUUCAAGGAUUCAAAUCGCCCGCUGAGCGAGAGCCAAUCAGUUCAAACCGCAAAACGCGCACGCGCAGUGACGUCAGAGAACACGUGAGGUUCAGGUUGGUUCAGACACGUUGAAAGGCUCUAUGCGCUCGCUGCAAACGAAGUGUUUCGAGCAUAUAUUUUUACCGUGUUUAUCAAUAUUACGUGCGGUUAUCGUUGCUGAAUGGACACGUACUACUUACAUCGCGUGUCUGGACGUUCGGAUCAUUGUUUGACAUGGAAUCGACGGCGGCGAUGUGUCGUCGUGGCACCAACCUACGGACGCGCAGCUUUGAACAAGAUCGCAAGCGCGGGCCUUUUGAGGAGACAGUCGCCGCAGCGGAUACAACACCUCGGUAAGAGUGCCUGGGCAGGCGGCCAGUUACCACAGCAGGGAUGCUUCGCAAGAGAAAGGGCCUGCUAAAAAAAGCUUCAUCUGUCACAAAUCGCAGGGCACGAAUGUAAAGAACACCUUGGCCCCAC
rnacentral:lncRNA from 1 species